UCACAUCUCCAUGUCUCAUGGUUUGUCAUCUCUAUGUCUCAUGAUUUGAUGAGACGUGGAGAUGUCGAAUCAUGAGACGUGGAGAUGUCAAAUCAUGAGACGUGGAGAUGUCAAAUCAUGAGACGUGGAGAUGUGAU
rnacentral:pre_miRNA from 1 species